GCUGGGACCUGGCCUCCCACCCCUGUCCUGUCUCACUGUUUCUUCUCCCACUCCUCCCCAGGCUCCUUCUGCUCCAGCCAUGGGCUACCUUGCUGUUCUCAGAUAUCUCAUGGUGUUCCUGAAUCAGGGUCUUGACCCGUGCACUUCACUUCCUUCUGCCUGGGACCCUCCUCCCCUAGAUACCUGCAGAGCAUGCUCCUUUACCUCAUUCCUGUCUCUACUCCAUGCCAGCUUGUCAGACAGGCCUGCUGAGACAUCCCCUCCAAAUAUUCCUACCUUCAUCCUCAUUCAUGCUUUUUCGCAGGAGUUAUCAUCUGACUUAUUAUGAUUUCUUUAGAAAUCUCUCUUCUCCUGUAGAAGAAAGAACUAAAGAUACCUCAGUCCACUGGCAGCUCCCAGAAGGCUUGGACCUAGGCAAUGUCUAUUAGGACUGCAACCUUGGGAAAUAAAGCAGGAAAGUCCA
rnacentral:lncRNA from 1 species